AGCGGCGAAAGGGAGAGUAAUGCAUGGAUAUCUACCCUCGGGUCUGGGAUAGCUACGGGAAACUGUAGGUAAUACCAGAUGACAUCUCCGGAUCAAAGGUGUGAUUCCGCCCGAGGAGGAGUCCGUGUCCUAUUAGCUAGUUGGCGAGGUAACGGCUCACCAAGGCAAAGAUGGGUAUGGGGUGUGAGAGCACGACCCCACUCACUGGGACUGAGAUACUGCCCAGACACCUACGGGUGGCUGCAGUCGAGAAUCUUCGGCAAUGAGCGCAAGCUUGACCGAGCGACGCCGCGUGCGGGAUGAAGGCCUUCGGGUUGUAAACCGCUGUCAGUGUGGAGGAAAUUCCUAGGAGUAAUCUCUUAGGAUUGACCUAUACGCAGAGGAAGGAUGGGCUAAGUUCGUGCCAGCAGCCGCGGUAAGACGAACCAUCCAAACGUUAUUCGGAAUCACUGGGCUUAAAGGGUGCGUAGGCGGCGUGGUAAGUUGGGUGUGAAAUCCCUCAGCUCAACUGAGGAAUUGCGCCCAAUACUGCCAUGCUCGAGGAAGACAUAGGUGAGCGGAACUUAGGGUGGAGCGGUGAAAUGCGUUGAUAUCCUAAGGAACACCAGUAGCGAAAGCGGCUCACUGGGUCUUAUCUGACGCUGAUGCACGAAAGCUAGGGGAGCGAACGGGAUUAGAUACCCCGGUAGU
rnacentral:rRNA from 1 species